CCUACGGGACGCAGCAGUGAGGAAUAUUGGUCAAUGGACGCAAGUCUGAACCAGCCAUGCCGCGUGCAGGAAGACGGCUCUAUGAGUUGUAAACUGCUUUUGUACGAGGGUAAACGCAGAUACGCGUAUCUGUCUGAAAGUAUCGUACGAAUAAGGAUCGGCUAACUCCGUGCCAGCAGCCGCGGUAAUACGGAGGAUUCAAGCGUUAUCCGGAUUUAUUGGGUUUAAAGGGUGCGUAGGCGGUCGGAUAAGUUAGAGGUGAAAUCCCGAGGCUCAACUUCGGAAUUGCCUCUGAUACUGUUCGGCUUGAGAGUAGUUGCGGUAGGCGGAAUGUAUGGUGUAGCGGUGAAAUGCUUAGAGAUCAUACAGAACACCGAUUGCGAAGGCAGCUUACCAAGCUACUUCUGACGUUGAGGCACGAAAGCGUGGGGAGCAAACAGGAUUAGAUACCCCGGUAGUC
rnacentral:rRNA from 1 species